rnacentral:rRNA from 1 species
UACGUAGGUGACAAGCGUUGUCCGGAUUUACUGGGCGUAAAGAGCGCGCAGGCGGUCGUUCAAGUCGAGUGUGAAAGCCCCCGGCUCAACUGGGGAGGGUCACUCGAUACUGAUCGACUUGAAGGCAGGAGAGGGAAGCGGAAUUCCCGGUGUAGUGGUGAAAUGCGUAGAUAUCGGGAGGAACACCAGUGGCGAAGGCGGCUUCCUGGCCGUGCUCUUGACGCUGACGGCGCGAAAGCGUGGGGAGCGAACAGG